GGUGGUCCAUGCAGGGGGAAAAACCUCAUACGCAUAAACAAAUGAAUUACUUAUUGAACCAACAGAGAUCCUUGCAGUGGCUGGCAGCAAGAACUCCACAGCCAAUGCCAUCAAAGUGAUAUCAUUCACAUCCCGGAAGGAACAGAAAUUUCAAGUAGCAGCAUUACAGUAUCUAUGAGGAACCUCUUCCCAUGUUGAGGAGCAACACAUGCAACAGUACACAGUGAAAUUAAUAAAAAUCGGAGGAGCCGGGACAAACUGGUUGAGACUUUGUGAGCCAGACAAUAGCUACAGCAAGUUAUUUCUGAAGCUUGUCCACAACGUGGGAAGUGGAGCCUGUUAGAGAGCUUGAUUUCUUGAUCUGCCCCAGCUACAGUGGAUGUGCACAGGAGUAAAAUGUACAGAAGAUGGGAUAGGAGAGAAACAGCCAGACACUCAGCCUUCCAAGCCCUUGGGAGGAUCAGCCACGGUCCUGGGGUUCACAUCAGUUGCUGGUGCUAAGAGUCGAUGCCAUCAGGAGCUGUAACUCCAACAGAGCAAACAAUGAAGGAGGAAGUAUGCUGUAUCAGCCCCAUCCUAGGCUUCAUAUUCACUAUUGAGCAUGAAGGACUGUCCUUCAGGAUCCAGUACUAGAGCCAAGAGUGCUCCAGUUUCAUCAGCCCAGCUUUAGGACCCAGCCCCUGUGCCUCCUCUGCCACUGCCAGAGUUGCACCAUUGCUGCCCUGAAUUUGCUCCAGUCUCUCGUGAUCUUCCAAGUUACAUGGCACUGGCAGAGGACAUAAAGAUAUGGCCCUUAUGCAGCAUGCCUAAAUGCUGGUUAUUGAUGUUGCUGUGC